GAGAAACAAGGUGGCGGUCAUUUAUCACACGGACAAUAUUGGCAGUUUUAUUGGAAGGGAAAGCAUCUUCAACUGUAACGAAGCUUCUUAAGAUAGGCAUUAAAGAUGUGACACCAUUAAUGGGGAGUUUUCAAUUAUUAAAGUCUUUAAAGAACAAGAGGAGCUAUUAAAGAAAUGAACUGCUUAUGGAAAUGUUGGGAACAGAGAAUACAUAUAAAAAAGACAGGCCAGGGAUCGGACUGGGUGACCCCAGCUUUUUAUGAUGCAUUUGAAGCAUAUCGAACCACUAAUACACAACAUGGUCAUCACAAAGUGAAAAUGCUGUUUUGUGACAAACUGAACACGAACGACUGAACAUUGUUGUUUAUGAUAAAUUUGAUCCCCUCUAACAUUGUGCAUACAAAGACACAAAUUCCAAAUCAAAUGGAGAUGGUUAAUUGAGCAUGCAGUAU